GAUGAAGAACGCAGCGAAAUGCGAUACGUAAUGUGAAUUGCAGAAUUCAGUGAAUCAUCGAAUCUUUGAACGCAUAUUGCGCUCUCUGGUAUUCCAGAGAGCAUGCUUGUUUGAGUAUCAGUAAACACCUCAACUUCCAUAUCUUUUUUGAAAUGGGAGUUGGACUUGAGUGAUCCCAACGCUUUUCCUCACCGAAAAGUGGCGGGUUACUUGAAAUGCAGGUGCAGCUGGACUUUUCUCUGAGCUAUAAGCAUAUCUAUUUAGUCUGCCUAAAAAACAGAUUAUUACCUUUGCUGCAGCUAACAUAAAGGAGAUUAGUUCUUGUGCUGACUGAUGCAGGAUUCACAAAGACAGGCUUCGGCCGACUUUGUAAACUCGAUCUCAAAUCAAGUAAGACUACCCGCUGAACUUAAGCAUAUCAAUAAGCGGAGGA
rnacentral:misc_RNA from 1 species